CAACCCCCCCCCCCCCCCCCCUCCCCUUUUCUCCACCCAGAGCUGAAUUCUAGUUAAUAUCUAAUGUAUUCAGAAUUAUUACUCCUGAAGAUUUUUCUAAUAAAAUUGAACUCUAACCAAUAAGAAAAUGGGUUUCCAUUCUUAAUAAGAUGAUGAACUUGUAUAUACAGAAUUGUUACUUCUAAAAUGUUUUCUAAUAAAAUUGAAUAUUAAUUAAUAAAAAAAGUGUUCCCAUCAUUACUUAUUAUAUAUUUUUUUUAUUGAUUUAGUUUUUUUUUUGAAAUUAAUGUAGCACACAGUUAGGUAAACCAUUUCUUUUUCUCUUUAUGGUAAGACGCCGCAUAUGCCAAUUUACAAUCUCCGUCCCUAAAUGGAGAUUUAAUUAACAGGUCGUCAAGAAUGUCCCACUUAUGCCAAAUUAUUACCCUUAUUUAGAUCGAGAGUACAUCACUUUAUUAAUAUUUUUACUUUAUUAAUAUUUUUACCUUUUUUGAGAUAUUAAAUGUUACCUUUUGGGGAGUAGUUAAUAAUUACCUUUUCAAAAAUUAAAAUUUAUGAAAACAAUAUUUAACUUUUGAUUUUUUUAACUUUUUAAUGUGUGUAAGUUUUUAGUUGUAAUAAUAUACAAUUUUAUUGAUUUCAAGCCAAAAACAACUUGUUCCAACUUUCCAAAAAUGAUACUGGUGGUGACUGAUGGGUAACUCUCUGGUGUAGUGUGGAUCAGAGCUGGUUACGG
rnacentral:misc_RNA from 1 species